CCUGGGAACUUCCACAUGCCCUGGGUGCAGCCCUAGAAAAUAAGAGGGGGAAAAAAAAAAAAAAAAAGACCUGGGGAAGCUAGAUGGGCUUUCGUGUUUCCUUGAGUAUAAUGGGAAAACAAGCUUCAGAGAAUCACUAUAUUUAAAAAAAUUUUUUUUUCGCUUUUGCUUUUUAGGGCUGUACUCUUAGCAUAUGGAAGUUCCCAGGCUAGGGGUCCAAUCAAAGCUGUAGUUGCCGGCCUAUGGCACAGCCAUAGCAGCACAGGAUCUGAGCCACAUCUGUGACCUAUCCCACAGCUCAUGGCAACGCUGGAUCUUAACCCCCUGAGUGAGACCAGGGAUCGAACCCAUAUCCUCAUGUAUAUUAGUCAGGCUCAUUUCUGCUGAGCCACAACGAGAACUCCUAAAUUUUUUUUAAUUGAAAUACUGUUGAUUUACAAUGUUGUGUCAAUUUCUGCUGUAUAGCAAAGUGACCCAGUCAUGCAUAUCUUGCUGUUGUACACAUAGCAAGACACUGUGCCCCAAAAACUCACAAGAGCAGCCCCUGAGUUAGUGUCCCAAUAUUUAUGAAAAACGCCCAAAAUGGUUAAUAAAAACUAAGCUCUGGAAUCCCCAGGCUGCCUAGCAGUUAAGGAUCCUGGGUUGUCAUUGCUGUGGCUCAGUUUUGAUCCCUAGCACAGGAAUUUCCCCAUGCCACGGGUGAGGCCAAAAAAAAAAAAAAAAGUAAGCUCAGCUUAUAUUUAUCCUAAAAGAAAAUAAAGCUUCUCCCUCUCUCCUCUACAUACUCUAUACAGUACAUAUAUAUAUAUAUACUAUAAGGUAAGGGUCCAAUUUUAUUCUUUUGCCUGUGAAUAUUCAGUUAUGAUCAGUAACUUUUCACCAUUUCACCAUGUGCUACCCUACUAAAGUCAAUCUGCCUGGAAAGGACAAAAGAGGACAGGAUGACAUAGAAUUCUUUCACAAAUUGUAUUCUAAUGUUUCUUUUCCUAGCUUCAUUACAGACACUCCUAAGCCCUCCAUGUAACAUUAUUAAAUAAAUAGUAGUAGUACAUUUCAAAAGCUACUAUAGAAUUGAAAAUAGAAGCAUUCCUAUUCUUCUGACCAAAAAGAAAAUUGUCACUAGGUUAUACUCAGACAUGACCAGCUUUGUAAUAGGACAUAAUUUUUGUAUUAAGGUCAGCUUCCUAUGUGAAAAAAUCCUAAUUUGAGCACAAACUAUAGAAAAAGACAAAGCUUGAGUAAUUUUUCAAAUGGAGAGAAUAGUGUAUCUAGGGUGAAAAAAAAAAUAAAGAGAGAAAGGGAACACAAGGAAAAAGAGUAAAGCCAGGUGAUGUACUGAAACUGCAGAACUCCUGGUGGGUCUUGAACCCACAGGCUGUGACUUGACCCCAGCCAAAACCCACAGUAGGACUUGACUACUGCCUUUUUUUUUUUUUUCUUUUUUAGGGCCAUACCUGCGGCAUUUGGAUGUUCCCAGGCUAAGGGUCAAAUCAGAGCUACAGCUGCCCCCCACAGCCAUAGCAACACCAGAUCCUUAACCCACUGAGUGAGGCCAGCGAUAGAACCUGCAUCCUCAUGGAUUUUAGUCAGGUUUGUUUCCACUGCACCACAACAGAAACUCCCCUGACCACUGUCUUUUAAUUGAAAUCACACACCUGGUCUCAGGACUCACUGAAGUUGAGGUUCUUUAUAUCUCAGUGCAGAAGGAAUUCAUGAGAGGCAAAGUGAUAGGAAAGAAGUUGCUUUAUUGAGAGAGAUACACACUCCACAGACAAAGUGUGGGCUCUUAGAAGGUGAGAGUGGCUCUGAGAGACAUCCCACUGACAGAGUGUGGGCUGUCUCAGAAGGUGGUGAGAUUUUAUGGGCUGAGGAAUUUCAUAAGCUAAUGAGUGGAAUUUCAUAGGCUAAUUUCAUAGGCUAAUGGUUAUUCCAGCUAUUUCAGGGAAGGGGAGGGGAUUUCUGGGAAUUCACUUCUGGGCCUUUAAUGGUUGGCCUGGGAACUCUCAUGGCGCCUGUGGGCAUGUCAUUUAGCUAAUGUAUUGCAAUGAGCAUAGAAUGAGGCUCAAGGUCUAAGAGAAGUCGAAUCUUCUGCCAUCUUAGAUCUAGUUGGUUCUAAGGGGUUUUUGUCAUACCCUCAACGUCUACAUCAUACUUUUAAAGGCUGUGCCCUGCCCCCUUCCCUCCUGUUUCACUGCGAGCCCUCAAAUUCUGAGAGAGGGUAAGAUACAAAUUGUAGCCAAAAUAAGAAAGUAGUGAGUAAAUUCAUAUAUAACAUAAGAAUACUCCUAGAAGCUUUGUCUUUUUGCUCUCCAAGUUAAUUGGUUUGAUGAAAGACUGACUCCUUGGAGUUCCCAUUGUGGUUCAGCAGGUUAAGAACCCAACUGAAACUGACAGCACUAGGGUCGAAUCGGAGCUGUAGCUGCCGGCCUACACCACAGCCACGGCAACACUGGAUCUGAGCCACGUCUGCAACCUACACCUCAGCUCACAGCAAUGCUGGAUCCUUAACCCACUGAGCAAGGCCAGGGACUGAACCUGCAACCUCAUGGUUCCCAGUUGGAUUCAUCAACCACUGAGCCAUGACGGGAACUCUGAGCAGUUUUUAACUUAUAGUGAUCUCCCAGUGUCCCCUUAAUUUCCUUCUUUAACUAUGGUCCUUUAUCAGGACUUCUACAGCCACCUGUGCCUACUCCAUCCCUAUCACAACUAGUAUCCAUGAGGAUGUGAGUUUGAUUCCUGGUAUUGAUCAGUGGGUUAAGAAUCCAGCAUUGCCGCAAACUGAGACAUAAGUUGGAGAUAUGGCUUGGAUUUGACAUUGCUGUGGCUGUAGCUGUGGCUGUGGCCUGCAGCUGUAGCUCCAAUUAGACCCCUAGCCUGGAACUUCCAUAUGCUGCAGGUGCAGCCCUAAAUAGAAAAAAAAUAAAAAGACUGACUCCUUAAGUAAAAUUUGGAUUAUUUCAUCAUUGUCCUAAUUCAGCAGGUUUUUUUAGACUUCAGUAAACAUUUGUCUGGGGUUGGGUUUAAAUUGUAGAGACAAUUAUUUCCUGCCCUCUUGGGUUUAAGUACAAUCUAUUCAUCCUGUAUGCAGAUAGGGUAGGGGAUCCCCAGAAAACAAAACAAAACAAAACAAAACAAAACAGGCAUGGCUUUCUUGACAUGCGAGUAGCCAUUUUUGGCCUAAGCCAUUUUGUGUGCUACGUCUGGCCAUAAUGUUUGUCCUUGAACAGGUCUCAAUAAUUAAUGCUCUUAAGGGAACAAAAGAAUGCAAAACAAAUGACUGUUAUCAGGC
rnacentral:lncRNA from 1 species